rnacentral:rRNA from 1 species
UACGGGGGGGGCAAGCGUUGUUCGGAAUUACUGGGCGUAAAGGGCUCGUAGGCGGCCAACUAAGUCAGACGUGAAAUCCCUCGGCUUAACCGAGGAACUGCGACGGAUACUGCUUGGCUUGAGUCCCGGAGAGGGUAGCGGAAUUCCCAGUGUAGCGGUGAAAUGCGUAGAUAUUGGGAGGAACAUCGGUGGCGAAGGCGGCUACCUGGACGGGUACUGACGCUGAUGCGCGAAAGCUAGGGGAGCAAACAGG